GACGAACGCUGGCGGCGUGCUUAACACAUGCAAGUCGAACGAUGAAGCCCAGCUUGCUGGGUGGAAGAGUGGCGAACGGGUGAGUAACACGUGAGUAACCUGCCCUGAACUCUGGGAUAAGCACUGGAAACGGUGUCUAAUACUGGAUACGACCUAUCACCGCAUGGUGUGUGGGUGGAAAGAUUUAUCGGUUCUGGAUGGACUCGCGGCCUAUCAGCUAGAUGGUGAGGUAAUGGCUCACCAUGGCGACGACGGGUAGCCGGCCUGAGAGGGUGACCGGCCACACUGGGACUGAGACACGGCCCAGACUCCUACGUGAGGCAGCAGUGGGGAAUAUUGCACAAUGGGCGCAAGCCUGAUGCAGCAACGCCGCGUGAGGGAUGACGGCCUUCGGGUUGUAAACCUCUUUUAGUAGGGAAGAAGCGAAAGUGACGGUACCUGCAGAAAAAGCACCGGCUAACUACGUG
rnacentral:rRNA from 1 species